GUUUUGGUUUGAAGGGUGGGGCAGCCGUUGUAACUAUUCUUGAGACCUUAGAACUUAUAUCUCAAGGUGGGUGGCGCAUUUACGUUGUAGAUGUCUAUGGGCUCCAGUAACCACUUAACACCAAGUAGGCUGUGAGCUCGUCCACCCAUGUAUGCAAUAAAUAAAAAAAUAGAAUACAGGUUUCGAAAACAAAAUUCGGACCAGAAGUAGAUCCAGUGAGCAACAACACUCGCUCGGUGGAAGAUUUCCUUUUGUUGUUACCCCAAAAAUCCAAUACUUCACUGUCAACAAAGUUAUUUUAAUAUAUUCAUUAAAUCAUAUGCUUGUACUUUCUCGCUCUACGUAAGGUUGUUGACUUUGCGAUGUAAAUAACCUCUGAACGGUAAUAUUAUUAGGGAAAUUUGGUCAAGGCAUGACAAAAUGAAUCUUGCGUAUCUUAUUUGAAAUAUUUUAAAAUAAAAGUUUGACGGUACCAAUAAAAUUGACUUCGAGAAAUUUACUGACUUUCCUACAAUAAUAGAUAACUAAUUUUACUUAUUUUAUAUCGGGUCUCUAUGGAUGUGGUACUAAAAUUGUGUCUGUAGUAUCAUUUAUAUGGUUUAGUUGUAACAAAACAUUAAAUUUAUUGUACUUUAGUUAGCUUAGUACUAUACACGCGUAUCAACAUCGAACUCGAACAAAAGCAAAUUACGUACAAAACAUUUGUUUUCCUGCUUUGUGUUUACCCAUUCUUCUGUUGGCUGCGUAAAGUUUACUAAGUAAUUAAUUAACGUAUGUAAUGAACGUAUAGAAAUUUAUUUGUUAUUUUAAAUCACGUCAUCUCGGUCCGAUAACGACUUUAAAGAAAACGUCACCGGUUUAUCAACUGCUCGUGAUUUAAUUGGAACAAGGAAUAACAUACGUCGCUCAUCGCACGUUAUGCAGGAGAGGGCGCUGGGGCGGCGGCUCCGGCGCUGCGGUGUCGCCAGUGGCGGCCUCCUCGUGGCCCACUCCACUCAGCUGAGGGCCUCGGGCACAGCAGAUCGAAAGUUCAACGCAAGAUCGAGCGCGCAUAUGUAAAUAUCGGCACAUUUACAAGCGAAAGGGUUCACCAAAGCGGCGCACUAACGCAUCGUUGUGCGGGAACCAGUCCAGUGAGAUUCCUACAGUUUCCGAAUGAAAAAUGUCGAACGAACUCCGGGUUCAUCACUCGACACGGGUGUGUGGUGCGCGACACGGUCGCCGCUCGACUGCCGCCCUCCUCUCACUACCAUACUGUUGGCUGGUAUAUUUAUCGCUUAAUUAUUGGACUCGUCUGUGUAACAAUUAUGAGGCAGGUCGUCGUGUGGCAGGCGCUGGCGGAUGGCGCGCGGCGCUAUCAAGUCUGCGGUCAUGGGUUGCGUCACAGCGCAGCACCGCGUAGCACCCGCAUCGUACGCGCAACCUUCCAAGAUUUUAUCUUAAACCUACACAAAAUCAUUGGCCCGUUUGCUCUGUAUGACUGAUGCAUGUAUGAUUUAGAUAUGUUAUAAAGCAAGUCCGCAAAUAUAGUUUCAACAAAAACAUCUGCUUACUCAUAGGGACAUAAUUAUUUAUCUCGAUAUUAUUAGUACAUGGCUCAAGUAACCGUUUUUAAGACUCCUAUCAAAUAUAUUAAAAUAAAAUUCAUUUCUUGAAAGAGCCGGAGUUGAUCACUUUCCAACAGUUCGCAUGUUUGUCAUAGAGGCAAUAAAAUUUCAUAUUUGUUACGGCAUCCAUACAUACAUUAUAAACGUAACUGUCAGUAUUGGUAAGAAGGUAGGCCACCGAGGUCUCUACCUACUAGCUCCUAAUUUCCCAUCACUUGACCGUGUUGUUUACCCCAUAAGUUCUCGCUCUAAUUGAUAUUUCGAAUAUUGGCCGUAGUCGUCUUAUAGAACCGCUCGAGUCGAUGUCAUACUAUGACCUCUUUCUGCUACUGAGCAUUACUUUCGAUUUGAGGACUGAAUUAGUGUUAAUUCCAUUACAAUUAGGUCUCUAAUCUCAUUGCUGAAUUUGGACGGCACCAUCGUUUUCUGGGAGCUCUUAUAACAGGUUACCAGAAUGCACCGUGAACUCUAACACUUAUCAACACUAAUAAAAAUUAUUAUCGACUAAAUUUGUUUAUGUAUUGUACCUACAUGCUGAGGCAAAAAUAAAAAAAACAUGUGGUAGAGCUACUCGCUACUCAAGUCCUGCCUUGAACACACCAAAAGAUCAUAAUUUGAAAUUUUAUUUUACUUCUAUCGCUGUUGCGUUCUGCCAGCACGCAAUGGAACACGAAUAACACAAAGGCCAACUGCUUUCGGUUUGAAUUGAAACUUGUUUAUACGUACUUAUGACAACUGAAGACACUCUUUGUUAUAAUUAUACAAUCCACACUUAUACGAUUGCGUUGACAGAAGAGUGCAGUGUGUAAUUAAUAAUUAUUUCGGUACUAUCGGUACUUUUAUAUUGUAUUCUAUUAUAUCAGUCCAUAAACGUCCACUACUGGAUAUAGGCCUCCCCCAAGCCUCGCCACAAAGAUCGGUCCUGCGCUGCCUGCAUCCGUGAAGACGUAGCGUGGGUAGGCCUCCCACAAGAUGAACCGACAACUAUUGAGGUUCGAGUGGAUCAGCUGGAUGCAAACACGCUUACCCGCAUCGCAAUAGAAUAGAAGCUAGUACAAUGAAUUGGCACGCUGAACUAUUUCUAUCAUCGCCUCCUUCACAAGCACUACUUGGAUCGCUCAAGACAUUGAUUAGCUUUAAGAUGUAAGGAAACGCAAUUAUUCAACCUCAAAACAUAAUAGGCGAAAUUUAACCUCCAGGCAUGCGUAGAAUCUAAACCUAAGAUACAUAAGAUCGAGAUGCUCGAAAAAAUCGGGGCGCAGACUUCAUGUGCUCACCGCUCAAUGCAGAAAUAACUACCUUAAAAGUCAGUUUCCGACACAUUAGUCACCGUUAGUAUUUUUUAUUUAUGUCAGAAUAUACUUUAUUGCCUUUUACGAUUUAGAAACGCUUUC